rnacentral:lncRNA from 1 species
CCACAUAUAUCCCCCUUUUUUCCAUUGUGUAAACCUCCGAUGAAUUUUAUGUUGAGAAAUACAAAACAAAAAAACAUUUGUAGACCCAUAAUACACAUCUCGUCCAAACCAAUUAAUUAGAGAAGAAAACUGAAAACAAGUUUCAUUAGCCCCAUGCUUUACACACAAAUACAACCCACAGAAAACUAAAUCCAAAUCUCCAACUCCACCAGCCCCCACGGCCCUCAAGGAGUUUAUAAUCUCACCAAAACCAUUAAUAGGAGAAACCUUAUAUUCAUAAUAACGAAAAACAUUCCAAAAGAUGAAGAAACUAUCGUCAAGAACCAGCAGUUUUCUACCAUCAAUGUAACUUAUAAAACUUAACCGAAGAGAUAAACAGACCACCACACUGAGGCACCUGUUAUUUCCAACUCGAUACGUAAUAUCUGUUUGGUCGUAACAUACCCAGAAAUUAAAAAAGUUGGAAUUGAUUCAUAUAAAGAAGGGAAGGUCGACAAAAAAAAAAGGAAGGAUGCUAAUUCUAUUUUUAUUUACAAAACAAACGAUUGACUUGUUCAAUAUCUUCAUCCUAAUUUUAGUCAUUUCUUUGGUUUUGUUGCAUAAUGCAAAACUAGCUUAUGC